UACGUAGGGUGCAAGCGUUGUCCGGAAUUAUUGGGCGUAAAGAGCUCGUAGGCGGUCUGUCGCGUCGGACGUGAAAAUCCAGGGCUCAACCCUGGACCUGCGUUCGAUACGGGCAGACUAGAGUUUGGUAGAGGAGAACGGAAUUCCCGGUGUAGCGGUGGAAUGCGCAGAUAUCGGGAGGAACACCCGUAGCGAAGGCGGUUCUCUGGGCCAAUACUGACGCUGAGGAGCGAAAGCGUGGGGAGCGAACAGG
rnacentral:rRNA from 1 species